UUUCUUGUCUCCCUCGCCAGCGACCUCCUCCUCUUCCCCCUCCUUUAUCUCUCUCUCUUGCUCUCUUACAGUAGAUCGAUAGUCACCUCGAAUUAGGGACUUCAGCCUCGUCCGCCAGAUCGGUAGCGGCGACAUCGGAAAAGUGUACCUCUACCGUCUCCGGAGCGACGGGAGCUGCUAUUACGCCAUGAAAGUGGUGAACAAGGAGAGCUGUUAUUACCUCUGCUGUCUCCGGAGCGACGGAGCGACGAGAGCUGCAAUUACGCAGUGGAAGAAUCUCGUCCCCGUUUUGUAUGAUUGUCUGGCG
rnacentral:lncRNA from 1 species